rnacentral:sRNA from 1 species
UGUAACGUAAGUCCCAUUCGUCGACAGA